UACGUAGGAGGCGAGCGUUAUCCGGAUUCAUUGGGCGUAAAGCGGGCGUAGGCGGCUUUUUAAGUCGGAUGUGAAAUCUCCUGGCUUAACUAGGAGGGCGCACCCGAUACUGCUAAGCUAGAGUGCAGCAGAGGAAAGUGGAACUCCCGGUGUAGUGGUGAAAUGCGUAGAUAUCGGGAAGAACACUAGUGGCGAAGGCGGCUUUCUGGGCUGUAACUGACGCUGAGGUCCGAAGGCGUGGGGAG
rnacentral:rRNA from 1 species